UUCUUACAGGCAGAUCUAGGAGCCUGAUCUAGCAGCCAGGGGGUGAGGGAGCUGGUCCUGGGGCAUCAGCGCCCCGGCACCUGCAGCCUGACCUGAGAGUCGGCAGAGGGAGCAGGUGUGCGCACGGUUGGCUCUCCGGAAGCGGUCAGUGCCAAGGCAAGGUGGGCGUGCCCUGUGAGCCUCUGCUUCUGUUUUGCUGGGAAGAUGACCAGGUCCUUUCCUGGAGGGUGAGAGGGAUGCCUCAUGACUCCUGGCUAACGGAGACGCUCUCUCCUUCCUCUGGAUCCCUGCUCCCCUGCCUGUAGCCCCAGAUUUCUGGAAGUGCCUCAGAGAGGCGGAUGUUUGCAAGUCUGCCCAGCGCUAUUGAUUUGUGCCUUCGCGAGCCUUGCCUUUACGCUCACACUGCCCCUGGCUAGCCUCACCGCCCGGGACCUCCUUGGGAGCAGCACGGCCCCUUGUUGAGAAGCCUGGUGUCAGGGGGCUGAGGCUGGGGAGGUGGGCUAAUGUCUGGGUGUCUGUGUCCCCCCAAAAUGCAUCUGUUGAAUCCUAACCCCCCGGUGUGAUGGUACUAGGCGGUGGGAACUUUGGGAGGUGAUUAGUCAUGAGGGGCCCUCAGGGUGGGCUUUGUGCCCUUAUGAAGGGGACCCCCAGAGCUCCCUGCCCUGCCCCCCCGCCCCCCGCCACCCAGCCAGGACACUGUGAGAAGGGCUGG